CCCUUAGACGUUCUGGGCCGCACGCGCGCUACACUGACCAGUGCAACAAGCAUCCGUCCUUGGCCGACAGGCCCGGGCAAUCUUUGAACGCUGGUCGUGAUGGGGAUAGACUUUUGCAAUUUUUGGUCUUCAACGAGGAAUUCCUAGUAAACGCAAGUCAUCAACUUGCAUUGAUUACGUCCCUGCCCUUUGUACACACCGCCCGUCGCACCUACCGAUUGAAUGGUCCGGUGAAGCCUCCGGAUUGGCGCGCACCUCGGUGCCGCCGAGAAGUUGGCUAAACCUUACCACUUAGAGGAAGGAGAAGUCGUAACA
rnacentral:rRNA from 1 species